rnacentral:rRNA from 1 species
GACGAACGCUGGCGGCGUGCUUAACACAUGCAAGUCGAACGGAAAGGCCCUGCGCUUGCGGGGUGCUCGAUUGGCGAACGGGUGAGUAACACGUGAGUAACCCGCCCCUGACAUUGGGAUAACUCUAGGAAACUGGGGCUAAUACCGGAUAGGAGCUUUUGCUGCACGGUGGGGGUAGGAAAGAUUCGGCGGUUGGGGAUGGACUGGUGGCUUAUCACUGUGUUGGUGGGGUAGUGGCUUACCAAGGCACUGAGGGGUAGCCGACAUGAGAGGGUGAACGGCGACAUUGGGACUGAGAUACGGCCCAGACUCCUACGGGAGGCAGCAGUGGGGAAUAUUGCGCAAUGGGCGGAAGCCUGAUGCAGCAGCGCCGCGUGCGGGAUGACGGCCUUCGGGUUGUAAACCGCUUUCGCCGGAGACGAAGCGUGAGUGACGGUAAUGGGUAAAGAAGCACCGGCUAACUACGUG